rnacentral:rRNA from 1 species
CAGCAGCCGCGGUAAUACGUAGGUGGCAAGCGUUGUCCGGAAUUAUUGGGCGUAAAGGGCUCGCAGGCGGUUUCUUAAGUCUGAUGUGAAAGCCCCCGGCUCAACCGGGGAGGGUCAUUGGAAACUGGGAAACUUGAGUGCAGAAGAGGAGAGAGGAAUUCCACGUGUAGCGGUGAAAUGCGUAGAGAUGUGGAGGAACACCAGUGGCGAAGGCGACUCUCUGGUCUGUAACUGACGCUGAGGAGCGAAAGCGUGGGGAGCGAACAGGAUUAGAUACCCCCGUAGUCCCUGUCUCUUAUAA